rnacentral:lncRNA from 1 species
ACAUUGCCGUUUUCUUUCCUUAAUUUACGUUGAGACUCGUGAAACUUAUGUAUGGUUUACGGUUCACCACCUUCCUUCUUUAGGUUAUUUUUUUUAUAUGAUAUAUUCGAGACCUUUCACAAAUAGGCCAUGAGAGCAGCCCAUGAGCGGUAGGUCUCGGGUUCGAGACUUGAGAGCAGUCUCUCCAUAAAUGGGGGUAAGGCUAGCCGACAUUCACCUCUCCCAGACCCUGCGUAAAGCGGGAGCCUUGUGCACUGGGUACGACCUAUAUAUUCGAGACCUUUGGGUAGUUUAAGCAGUAAAGUAAUCUACUUGUUUACAUUGAAAUUUUUGUGCAUCAUAUCUCUUUCUAUAUCCAUUAUGGCAUUGGGUCGCAAUGUGUUUGAUAC